UAGUCCUAGCCUUAAAAUNAGUUUUUACUUAAUUUACACAUGCAAGUCUCAGCACCCCUGUGAGAACGCCCCUAACCCCUAUCAGGAACAAGGAGCUGGUAUCAGGCACAAUUUUUAGCCCAAGACACCUAGUUUAGCCACACCCACAAGGGAACCCAGCAGUGAUUAACAUUGAGCAUAAGCGACAGCUUGACUCAGUCAAAGUAAGCAAGGGCCGGCAAAUCCCGUGCCAGCCGCCGCGGUUAUACCAUGAGGCCCAAAUUGAUUUCUUCGGCGUAAAGCGUGAUUAAAGUUAUUAACACAAUUAUAGUUACACCAGAACUAAGCCGUAAUAAACUUGUACCUGUGAAAGUCAUAAACGAAAGUUACUAUAUACCCCCACUUGAACCCACGACAGCUGGGAAACAAACUAGGAUCAGAUACCCUACUAUGCCCAGCCGUAAACUUUUAUUUACACCCCCAUCGCCCGGGAACUACGAGCCAAGCUUAAAACUCAAAGGACUUGACGGUACCCCACAUCCACCUAGAGGAGCCUGUCCUAUAAUCGAUAACCCCCGUUAAACCUCACCAUUUUUAGCAUAACAGCCUAUAUACCUCCGUCGCCAGCCUACCUCAUGAGUGACUUUUAGUAAGCUUAAUGUCCCUAAGUCAGAACGUCAGGUCAAGGUGCAGUAAAUGAAAUGGGAAGAGAUGGGCUACACUCUCUAAUAUAGAACACACGAAAGACUAUGUAUGAAAUUUAGUCAGAAGGCGGAUUUAGAAGUAAAAGGGGAUCAUAAAGCCCCUUUUAACGCGGCCCUGGGGUGUGUACACACCGCCCGUCACCCUCUUCAAAAACCAAAAACCAGUACUUAACAUCAAUUCAGCAAAUCAGAAGAGGCAAGUCGUAACAUGGUAAGUGUACCGGAAGGUGCACUUGGAAA
rnacentral:ncRNA from 1 species